AUCCAGCUAAAGAGUCCUAAAUAGGACGACACGCUCAGCCUGGAU
rnacentral:hammerhead_ribozyme from 1 species